UGGCUCAGAUUGAACGCUGGCGGCAGGCUUAACACAUGCAAGUCGAGCGGAGUGAUGGUGCUUGCACUAUCACUUAGCGGCGGACGGGUGAGUAAUGCUUAGGAAUCUGCCUAUUAGUGGGGGACAACAUUUCGAAAGGAAUGCUAAUACCGCAUACGUCCUACGGGAGAAAGCAGGGGAUCUUCGGACCUUGCGCUAAUAGAUGAGCCUAAGUCGGAUUAGCUAGUUGGUGGGGUAAAGGCCUACCAAGGCGACGAUCUGUAGCGGGUCUGAGAGGAUGAUCCGCCACACUGGGACUGAGACACGGCCCAGACUCCUACGGGAGGCAGCAGUGGGGAAUAUUGGACAAUGGGCGCAAGCCUGAUCCAGCCAUGCCGCGUGUGUGAAGAAGGCCUUAUGGUUGUAAAGCACUUUAAGCGAGGAGGAGGCUACUGAAGUUAAUACGUUCAGAUAGUGGACGUUA
rnacentral:rRNA from 1 species